rnacentral:rRNA from 1 species
GUGGGGAAUAUUGGACAAUGGGCGAAAGCCUGAUCCAGCCAUGCCGCGUGUGUGAAGAAGGUCUUCGGAUUGUAAAGCACUUUAAGUUGGGAGGAAGGGUAGUAACCUAAUACGUUGCUACUUUGACGUUACCGACAGAAUAAGCACCGGCUAACUUCGUGCCAGCAGCCGCGGUAAUACGAAGGGUGCAAGCGUUAAUCGGAAUUACUGGGCGUAAAGCGCGCGUAGGUGGUUCAGUAAGUUGGAAGUGAAAUCCCCGGGCUCAACCUGGGAACUGCUUUCAAAACUGCUGAGAUAGAGUACGGUAGAGGGUGGUGGAAUUUCCUGUGUAGCGGUGAAAUGCGUAGAUAUAGGAAGGAACACCAGUGGCGAAGGCGACCACCUGGACUGAUACUGACACUGAGGUGCGAAAGCGUGGGGAGCAAACAGGAUUAGAAACCCCAGUAGUCC